rnacentral:rRNA from 1 species
UGGGGAAUAUUGCACAAUGGAGGAAACUCUGAUGCAGCAACGCCGCGUGAGCGAUGAAGGUCUUCGGAUCGUAAAGCUCUGUCUUUAGGGAUGAUAAUGACAGUACCUAAGGAGGAAGCCACGGCUAACUACGUGCCAGCAGCCGCGGUAAUACGUAGGUGGCAAGCGUUAUCCGGAAUUAUUGGGCGUAAAGGGAGCGUAGGCGGAUAUUUAAGUGGGAUGUGAAAUACUUGGGCUCAACCCGAGAACGGCAUUCCAAACUGGAUAUCUAGAGUGCAGGAGAGGAGAGUGGAAUUCCUAGUGUAGCGGUGAAAUGCGUAGAGAUUAGGAAGAACACCAGUGGCGAAGGCGACUCUCUGGACUGUAACUGACGCUGAGGCUCGAAAGCGUGGGGAGCGAACA